rnacentral:rRNA from 1 species
GAUGAACGCUGGCGGCGUGCCUAAUACAUGCAAGUCGAGCGAACGGACGAGAAGCUUGCUUCUCUGAUGUUAGCGGCGGACGGGUGAGUAACACGUGGAUAACCUACCUAUAAGACUGGGAUAACUUCGGGAAACCGUAGCUAAUACCGGAUAAUAUUUUGAACCGCAUGGUUCAAAAGUGAAAGACGGUCUUGCUGUCACUUAUAGAUGGAUCCGCGCUGCAUUAGCUAGUUGGUAAGGUAACGGCUUACCAAGGCAACGAUGCAUAGCCGACCUGAGAGGGUGAUGGGCCACACUGGAACUGAGACACGGUCAAGACUCCGACGGGAAGCAGCAGUAGGGGAACGUAAGAAAUGGGCGAAAGCCUGACGGAGCAACGCCGCGUGAGUGAUGAGGAACAUCGGAUCGUAAAACGCUGUUAUUAGGGAAGAACAGAUAAGUAAGUAACGGUGCAGAACUUGACGGUACCUAAACAGAAAGCCACGGCUAACUACGUG